rnacentral:rRNA from 1 species
GAGUUUGAUCCUGGCUCAGGAUGAACGCUGGCGGCGUGCUUGACACAUGCAAGUCGAACGGAGAUGUACGCUGAAGAAGCUUCGGUGGAUUCUUGUGCAUCUUAGUGGCGGACGGGUGAGUAACGCGUGGGCGACCUGCCUCACACAGGGGGAUAACAGCCAGAAAUGGCUGCUAAUACCGCAUAAGCGCACAGUGCUGCAUGGCACAGUGUGAAAAACCGAGGUGGUGUGAGAUGGGCCCGCGUCUGAUUAGCUUGUUGGCGGGGUAACGGCCCACCAAGGCAACGAUCAGUAGCCGGCUUGAGAGAGUGGACGGCCACAUUGGAACUGAGACACGGUCCAAACUCCUACGGGAGGCAGCAGUGGGGAAUAUUGCACAAUGGGGGAAACCCUGAUGCAGCGACGCCGCGUGAGUGAAGAAGUAUUUCGGUAUGUAAAGCUCUAUCAGCAGGGAAGAUAAUGACGGUACCUGACUAAGAAGCCCCGGCUAACUACGUGCCAGCAGCCGCGGUAAUACGUAGGGGGCAAGCGUUAUCCGGAUUUACUGGGUGUAAA